rnacentral:rRNA from 1 species
UACGGGGGGGGCAAGCGUUGUUCGGAAUUACUGGGCGUAAAGGGCUCGUAGGCGGUCAACUAAGUCGGACGUGAAAUCCCUCGGCUUAACCGGGGAACUGCGUCCGAUACUGGAUGACUUGAGUUCGGGAGAGGGAUGCGGAAUUCCAGGUGUAGCGGUGAAAUGCGUAGAUAUCUGGAGGAACACCGGUGGCGAAGGCGGCAUCCUGGACCGACACUGACGCUGAGGAGCGAAAGCGUGGGGAGCAAACGGG